UCUGGGACAGGAGCACAACUAGGGGAGACUGAGAGGACAUGUGAGGGGGAAAGAAUUUGUGUGUUUCAGGCAGGAUUUUAAUUUAUCUGAGCACUCAAUUGACCAGAAAGAGACAGAAAUGCCAUUGUACCAAAACCGCUUGGGAGCUCACCCUCCUUCCGGGAGAAAGCCGUAAGGUCAAAGCGAGGGGAAAUGGAGGCCUGGAGGGGAGCUUCGGAGGGAGACCGAGCUGCUGGAAUCUGCCGGGUCAUCCGCAGCCAGACACAGCACAGAAAGCGUGAAGUGCCAAGACUUACUGGGGUUUUACUGAGCUUGGUAGGAUAUCUGUCAGCCCUGUGUGAGCAAUUAGUGCUGAUUACCAGUUCCCUCUGCUGGCUGAGCUAACGAAGUUAUCCCUUCGGCUCUGCACGAGUGCUGCUGCUGCUGCAAGGGGUACCUGGCCCAAGCCCAGUGUCUGAGACAGCCGAAGGCUUUCCACGAGAAAAUUCCUGUGGGUUUCUGUGAAGAACCCACCUCCCGUUGCCACCAGCCCCACCACCCAGUCAGAACACAGACCCGAGGCAAAACCACGGCCUUGCUCCCCCUGCCAGAGAAAUCCUGCUUCACUCCCCGGCUGGAAGCUGAAAUAUGUCCUUCCCGUGCGUGGCUCGAGCUCCUCAGGAAAACUUCAGCUACAUCCAAAUUAAUAACUGAACACAAGCAUCCCAGCCUAAGACCGGGCUUACUGUGGGAACGACUGGAUGCUGGCAGCGAGAUUGGCUGCGGCGGGAGGUGAGCACGGCCAAGCUAAACAACCGCCGUCUGCUCCCAUGUCCUCCUCCUCCUCCUCCUCCUCCUCCUCCUUGUGAGCGGCAGCCCUUCACUGCUCACCAUGAGGCCGGGAUUGGGGAAUCCUGGUCAUUGGCCCUGCUAGCCAAGAGGUGAGGGAGCCCUUUCCACACCUGGACUUUGGGAUCUAAAAACACGGGAUACUCAAUGCACCUGGCUGCGUGCACUAUAAACCACUUUCACCUUCUUACUCGAGCUGUGGGAAUUUGCAUGCAAAAAGCCCCAUUAGGCCCCAUCAAAGGAUAUUUAGGUUGCUGGUGUUGAAUUACCAGAAGCAGGCAGUUUAGUUCUGAGUAGAAAGUGUUUCCCACUUAAAAGUGAAACGGUGUCAUAGGAAGGUUUCCCUCACCUGUAAAUAACAGUUGUACAGCUUUGCUUGCUGGGUCUUCACCACAAUGUUAAAAUUUAAUUUCUGUAAUGACAGGAGAUUGAGUUUCAGGAAAGGUAAAAUUUCAUCCUGGUUUUCUUUUUUUUUCAGUGUUAAAUAUUUUUACAGAAGGUGUUGACCAUCAUUUAUAGAUGUAUUGUUUCACCAUUACCAAGUGAAAUAAAUUUGGUUUAUGCUACAAAUAAUAUUAACCAACCAGACAACAAGGGCAAAAAAGCUUCAAACAGAAUCACUUCUCUACAAGUCCUUAUCCCCUUUGUGGUUCAAGAAACUGGCUCCAAUGAGCUUUAGAGACUAAAGAACUCCAUCAAGUUAAACAGAAAGAAGAGCAGCAGAAAGCACCACUACAGAGAAUAACUCAGGGGUUUCUUAUAUUACUCCACCCAGCAGUGCAUAAAGAAAACCUGUCUGAAACAGCAGAAAUCACCUAAUCAAAAAAGUGUAUGAAUUGCCUUUCCUUCAGCCUUCAGGUAAUAUAUAACAUACAAACAAACACACACACCCUGCCUUGCCCCAUCUUUUCCUUCCUGGACUAAGAAGCCCUGCCAGGUCCCUUCAAUCUCCCCAAACUCUGUGAAGAAUGGCCAUGAGCUGUCGUGCUGAGCAGUCACGCUCCUCCCAGAUCUGUGCAUGCACCAGACAUCACAGAUCUGGCAGUGCUCUGCCCCAUCAGACAGGAAUGACACAGUGUCAUAUGAUGCCACCAUCGGCAUCUUUUCCUGAUUCUGCUCCUCCCAGCACUCCAGGGAGAGCCCCUGAUGGGAGAAAACUCAAAGUGCCUUGAGCUCAGCUCCUGAGGCCACUGCUCAUCUCCUCUGCUGGAAUCCUGGAUUGGCACCAGGGCUGUGCAUUUCAGCUCAGCAUCACCACCACACAUGGCCAGGUGCCCAGAGUCCUGACCAAAACUAGACAUGCAAAUUAUUAAAACCACCACUGCUGCCACCAGAGUGCUGUACAAAAAU